AACGAACGCUGGCGGCAGGCCUAACACAUGCAAGUCGAGCGCCCCGCAAGGGGAGCGGCGGACGGGUGAGUAACGCGUGGGAAUAUGCCCUUUGCUACGGAAUAGUCUCGGGAAACUGGGGGUAAUACCGUAUACGCCCUUUGGGGGAAAGAUUUAUCGGCGAAGGAUUAGCCCGCGUUGGAUUAGGUAGUUGGUGGGGUAAUGGCCUACCAAGCCGACGAUCCAUAGCUGGUUUGAGAGGAUGAUCAGCCACACUGGGACUGAGACACGGCCCAGACUCCUACGGGAGGCAGCAGUGGGGAAUCUUAGACAAUGGGGGCAACCCUGAUCUAGCCAUGCCGCGUGAGUGAUGAAGGCCUUAGGGUUGUAAAGCUCUUUCAGCUGGGAAGAUAAUGACGGUACCAGCAGAAGAAGCCCCGGCUAACUCCGUG
rnacentral:rRNA from 1 species